CACCGCUGGUUUAUCCAUUCGUCUCCAUCGCUGGCUUAUCCAUUCGCCCCCACCAAGAUGCAUCUGCAUCCAUCUCUCCUAUUCUCUCGCUUCAUCUCUCAUCCUCUCUCAAAUCUCUCUGACCGGUGGACUCCGUGUGGGCGGAGCGAAGUGGGAGCCAAGCCAGCCGAGCCGGCCCCUCUCCUCUUCGCCUUCCUCGCAGCGGCCCGGAUGUGAAGCCUCCGAAGUCGCUGGUGCCCCCCGUUCCAUAUGAGCCGAUGUGAAGCCAAGUCGCUGGCACCCUGUUCUAGACCACCAGAUCCGGAGUGCCGCCAACAGUUCCUGUACCCAUCACGCCCGCGUCAACGACCGCCAAGUUGCUGGCACCCCGUUCCAGACCACCAGAUCUGGAGCGCCGCCGCCGGAUCUCGUCCCCAUCAUGCCCGCGUCAACGACCGCUGCGGAACCCUCCUCAGCUCCUCCUUAACGAUUCAUGGCAAGAACCGAGACAACGCCGUGCCCUUUCCCGUCUCCAACACUGUAGUGCUCGCGCUGUCGGUGCUGUCGUAUUUCAUUAUCAUUCGAAUAUGUGUGGAUUUGACCCCUUCGUUGCCUUUCCAUCAUGUUGUAUUAUUCUUUUUUGAGUCUGAUUCUCAUGCCUGGUGCGAAUUCUCUAUAAAUCGUGGUCAGGAUUUGUUCCUUCGUUCCCGAUUAUAAUUCGUUGAAUCGCCCCGUAGAUCCCGUUUGCGUGCGUGCGUGAUGGUUGGGGCGUGACCAUGGGUUGAAUACUAAAAAACGUAGGGUGUUUCUUGCAUAAACGAAACGUUUUCUUAGAUAAGUCACUUAGUAUAGGACUGCGGGUUGAAUACCUAAAUCAGCAGGUUUUUCUAGGUAAUAGCACCUCAGGUACCCUAACUUGUACAGAAUGUGAUGAUUCAGUCCCAAACUUGUAAAACUUGACUCCAUCAUACCUUAACUUGCAUCUUAUGUGAUGAUUUAGUCCCAGGCCAAUCACAGCUCGACAAUUAGCAGCCAGGUGGCUGGACCGGUCAGCGCACGCACUUUUGCAGAAACCCCCUGCCGUCGCGUGCCAGGGGCCUCGAAGACGCGAUCCAGGAGAUGCUCGGCCAGCUUGGCCUCCGCGAGCCGGAGCCAGAGCGGCGCACCACCAACCACCAUCCCUCCCCGCCGUCGCGCAUGGAGCUCCACACUAUGGCCCUCUCGGAGACGAUCCACGAGAUGAGCGCGUUCCCCGACGCGCGGUACGAGCUCUACUCUUGGGAGUUCUACAAGGCCUACCUCCGGUCGCCCCGGCCCAUCGACCCGCCGUCGACGACGAGCGCGGUGCCUCUCCACGUGGCGCAGUUGGGGGCGGCGAUGAGGGGCCGCUACCCUUACCUCGCGGACGAGGUGGCGAGGCUGGCGAGGUCCAAGACGGCGAAGCAGUGUGCGGCGCUGGGCAGGAGGUUGCUGUAGAUGGACGCUGCCGCGCUGAGCUCGCUGGAAGAUCGGUUGAGGGAAGCCACGCGGGCCGGGAAGGAGGCCAUGCUGGCCAAGCUGCAGUUGGAGGUGCGCUACACCAGGGCCAGGAUUCAGGCGGAGGCCAUGGUGGAGACCAUCAAGUCUGCCGCUCCCAACUAGAAAUGAUUUAGGUACUACUAGUAGUAUGGGUCAGGCUAUGGUGGAAUGCUGAUUAAUUAGGAGGCAAGGUGAAGUUAAUUUCGUUUCAUGGAUGGGUCUUAUGUGUGUAAUCUCCUAAGCUAAAUGUAUGACUGAACCCAAUUUGAUCGGGAACUUAAAUCUACAGUCCUGCUCAUGCG
rnacentral:rRNA from 1 species